UUAUCUUAGUAAACGAUAGUGUAACUUUGCCUAUUUUAGUUUAAACGUUAAAUUUAUUCCAAUUCGUGUUAGAAACGUAGUUUGUGUACCAUGUUACAUCAUAAUUGUUGCUGUAUGUUAGGGGGCUAAUAACGUACUUCAAAUAUAACGUUUACGAUUAAAUAUUAACGUUUGUUAACGUGUUAACAAGAGUCUACUGAAUAAUAUAAAAUGAAUGUUGUUUGACUGGAUGUAUAGAAGAUACAAGUGCAACACUGUUCAUACUUUUGUGUUUAAUUUUUCAAGUGAUUGUGUGAUAUCCAUCAACUUAUUGAUUUUUUUCUUUUACUAUAACAAUUGACAAAACGGUUAUUUUAACAACUACUCUUCUAUUUCUGCCUUCACCUUUUGUGUAUCUGACUAUCAGUUAUGACGGGUAAGAAGCCAUUACAUUUCCAAAAUCUUACUAACUUAAGUGAAUUAAUUUUUGUUUUGUUUGUUUGUUUUUAUUUUUAGGAAGAAGCAGUGCACAUCAACCAUGUUGGAAGCAUUCAAGGAUGAGACAAAAUGGCAGGAGAAAGAAGUGCAGAACAUCAGAGUACAUCUUGAACAUCUUGAUGUUGCCAGAUGCUGUCCUGUCAGAAGUUCUUCUUCACGUGGUCCUGGAGGAGGGUGAUGCUGCUGCAUUGUUAAAUCUCUCUUUGGUUUGUUCCAAAUUCAGAAGUCUGGUGGACAGGCACACUUCGGCUGGCUUGAUGGUGUAACUAAAUGGAGUACAAAGUCUGAGCCAUCCCAGGACCUUUAGAAAAUGUUUACACUUCAGCCAACACUGCAAUGAAGUGUACAAUAACUGCUUACCAGGUUAUGUUGGAAGAGGAAAACGAGGAGAGAUGCAAGGCUUUUACUCCGAAAACACCCAUCCAGGGGUUUGCAGUGAGUGGUGCAUGAUGCUACAGGAGGAAUAACUCUGUAUAACACAUCAGUUCUGUUCUGAAAGUCUUGUAAAUACCUCCAGGAUUGUUGUUCGUGAUUCUGAUUUCUGACAUCUACUAGGGAGUGCCCCUAAUAUUAUGUGUAUAUGUUUAUGAAGAAGUUUCUUUGUCUCAAAUCAUGCAAUUAUGCUCUUCUGCAAAUCAUGCACCAAAGGGUACUGUAUUUCUUAUGUUUUAUAUCUUAAGGACCACAAUGGAAAUAAGCCUAUGGGCUUUUUGUAUUUUUAUCCUUUUGAACACUUCAUGUUGAUUGUUGUUCAAUAAAGUAUUUAAUCAAUUCAAUCACUCAAAAUCUUUC